rnacentral:rRNA from 1 species
UACGUAGGGUGCGAGCGUUAAUCGGAAUUACUGGGCGUAAAGCGCGCGUAGGUGGUUCGUUAAGUUGGAUGUGAAAUCCCCGGGCUCAACCUGGGAACUGCAUUGGUGACUGGCAGGCUUUGAGUGUGGCAGAGGGAGGUAGAAUUCCACGUGUAGCAGUGAAAUGCGUAGAGAUGUGGAGGAAUACCGAUGGCGAAGGCAGCCCCCUGGGUCGAUACUGACGCUCAUGCACGAAAGCGUGGGGAGCAAACAGG